rnacentral:lncRNA from 10 species
UCACGAGGUCAGGAGUUCGAGACCAGCCUGACCAACAUGGUGGAACCUGUGUCUACUAAAAAUACAAAAAUUAGCCGGGCAUGGUGGCAUGUGCCUGUAGUCCCAGCUACUCAGGAGGCUGAGGCAGGAGAAUCGCUUGAACCCGAUAGGCGGAGGUCGCAGUGAGCCGAGAUCGCGCCAUUGCACUCCAGCCUGGGCAACAGGGUGAGGCUCUGUCUCAAAAGAAAAAGAAAAAUUAUUGUACUCAAGGCCUACAGUUUAUAAAAUUAAAAAUUUUUACUGCUUCAUGAAGGACAGUCUUACGUGACACUGGCUUUUUUUUUUUUGAGAUAGAGUCUCACUCUGUCACCCAGGCUGGAGUGCAGUGGCACAAUCUCGAUUCAGUGAAACCUCCUCCUCUCAAGUGCAAGCAAUUCUACUGCCUCAGCUUCCUGAGUAGCUGGGAUUACAGGCGCCCACCACCACACGUGGCUAAUUUUUGUAAUUUUAGCAGAGAUGGGAUUUCACCAUGUUGGCCAGGCUGGUCUUGAACUUUUGACUUCAAGUGAUCCGCCCUCCUCGGCCUCCCAAAGUGCUGGGAUUACAGGUGUG